UGGUUCUGCUCUGCCCAGGAGAUUCCUGAAUGAGGAGUAAGGGGACAAGACUGCAAGGAGAAUUGAUGAGAGCUGGACCAAGGCAGAAUGGGAGGGAGGGAGCUCCCUCGCUGGAGGGCCACUUGUUGGGGCUACUAUUGGCGCGGGGAUGUGGGCAGCCCUGGAUGGUCUCUGUGGCGCCUGUCUGACCUGACUGGGGUUUCAAGACUCCAGGGACUCUCUGAAGACUAGUAUUGCAGCUGAGCAGACGUCAAGAAUGGAACUGGGGACUCCCAAAGUGGGGGGAGGCUCUUCUUGUCAUCUUCACCAGAAGGAUUAGCCAGAAGCUAAGGGCCAGACAUUUGAGACAGAGCACACUGCCAGUGCUCAGACAAGGGCUGGGAAGGCUUUAGGCCCUUGAUGUGGGUUUGGAGAGACCCGUGUGCCAUGAUUAAACAGAAGAAAGAGAGGGAGGAUCCUCUGGGAGAGGAAAACAGCAUCCGGGACAAAGGUGCCGGUGGAGAGAAGGGAGGACAAUCUUCAAAAGAACGAGCUCCCCUCCAGUGGGAAGUAUCGCUGUUGACCCUGAGCACAGCCUGGGGGAGCCCGGUGUUGAAGGCAGGAGAGUGGAUGGGGAGCGAGCCCUGCGGAGCACACCUGCCCCUGUUACCACUGGCUCCCAACCACAUCCUCCUAUCAUGCCUGACAGGUUUUCCGACCAGCCAAGCCCAAGGGGGCCAAAACGCACCUGCAGGCAGCCAGGGUUUUGGUCCAACUCUCAAUCAUCGUGGCAUAUCUUCGGCAAAGGGACCAAACUGAUCGUCCUAGGUCAGCCCAAGGCAUCCCCCAUGGUCAUGGCCUAUGGUCCAUCCCAAGAUGAGCUGAGAACCCCCACAGCCACACUCACGUGUCUCAUCAGUGGCUUCUACCCAGGCUCCCUGGAAGUGACCUGGACCAAGAAUGGCUCCCCUGUGUCCAGUGGGGUGCUCACCAGCCAGCCAGUCCGCCAGACUGACAACAAGUACUCAGCCAGCAGUUACCUCUCAGUCAACCCCAAUCAAUGGGGGGAAAACAACCAAUAUAUGUGCAAGGUGACCCAUGAGGGCCAGGUCAUAGAGAAGGAGCUGUCUGCCAGCCAGUGCACAUAGAGGCCCUCACCCUCCAGGACCCCUCACUCCAUCCCCACACAUGGGCAGCCCCAGCUCAUCAAACACUCUCCCAUGCUUCUAAUAAACUCUUUUCCUUUCUCAUUCAA